rnacentral:lncRNA from 1 species
AUUUUUUAGUUUAAUAAUCCAAUCCGGCAGUUUCUUCAUAUUCCCCGUCAAGUAGAGACGCUGCAGAUAUUGAGGAGGACUACUCAAAGACUGCAAGUCAAGUAUUUCUUCUUUGCUUGCCAUUAACACUGUUAAAGACUCUAGGUUUUCCAAAUUUGCAAUCAAAGCACACACAUCCUUGCCAUUUCCAUUUUGGGGCCUAAUGCCCAACUUUCUUAACUGCCUUAGCUUCAUAAGCUCGUCAAGCGCUUGAGAGUCAGCUUCUAUAAUAGACAACUUCUGCAGAUCCGUUAGCGACCCAAGCCCCCGGUGUACUUUGGCUACUGCUGCUCCUGCUAUACUAGAACCUGAGGUAUAAUUGUACUGAUACACCAUUAGAUAACGCAACUUUUUAAGAUUCCUGAUCUCUACUGGAAGUUCACUCACCAAAGUGUUUUUCAAAUCCAAAAUCUCUAAACUGAGAAGAUUUCCAAUGGACUUGGGAAUUAUUUUUACUUCUGUAUUUUUCACACUCAAGUAGUGUAAAUUGAAUAAGUUUCCCACUCCUUCAGGAAGGUAAUCUAUAGGAGAAUCUUCCAGAUCUAGUACUUUCAUGAGCUUGAAAUUGGCAAUACUUGUUUUCAUGAAAGAGUUGGGCAGCUUAUCUAUAUUGAAAAGAAAAACAGUACGGACCUUCGAGUGCUUGAUGCUCUCUAAAGCACCAUCAUCAAUACUUCUCUGUAUAGUUAUUCGUCGAGUUUUACUGCAAUGACUCAAGUCCACUCCGUUCAGCACACGACCGAAGCCCAAUUCUUCAGUUUUUCUGAUGACGAUCUCGUGCAUAAGAUCAUGAACUUGGCAGAUACUAGCUCGCCCAGAAAUAUCUCUCUCUGAAACUUGAACCAAGCUUCUGUCAACGAGCUCAUUCAAGUAUUCUUCUGCAACCUGUUCAGAUGUGGUGCGUUUGCUGUACUGGACAAAGCCCUCAGCUAUCCACAAACGGAUAAGUUUGGAAACCAACCUGCUUCAAAGUGAAAAAGCUCGUAGUUGUAUGUCCCCCCGAGUCUAAGUUCCAAUAAAUUAGGCAAGGCGUGAAGGACUCUGAUUGGAUCCUCAGUCAAUCCCGACAAGUCCAAACCCACUCUGAUUACAUUUUUUAGUUUAAUAAUCCAAUCCGGCAGUUUCUUCAUAUUCCCCGUCAAGUAGAGACGCUGCAGAUAUUGAGGAGGACUACUCAAAGACUGCAAGUCAAGUAUUUCUUCUUUGCUUGCCAUUAACACUGUUAAAGACUCUAGGUUUUCCAAAUUUGCAAUCAAAGCACACACAUCCUUGCCAUUUCCAUUUUGGGGCCUAAUGCCCAACUUUCUUAACUGCCUUAGCUUCAUAAGCUCGUCAAGCGCUUGAGAGUCAGCUUCUAUAAUAGACAACUUCUGCAGAUCCGUUAGCGACCCAAGCCCCCGGUGUACUUUGGCUACUGCUGCUCCUGCUAUACUAGAACCUGAGGUAUAAUUGUACUGAUACACCAUUAGA